GCGCCCGUAGCUCAGCGGAUAGAGCAGCCGCCUUCUAAGCGGCAGGUCGCAGGUUCGAUCCCUGCCGGGCGCGCCA
rnacentral:tRNA from 1 species